rnacentral:lncRNA from 1 species
UUUCAUCUUCUCCUUCUUCCUGGCCCUUUGUGGCGCCAACGCACGGAGGCGAUAAUCAACGUAGCAAAAGGCGGCGACGUGGAGGUUCGGAGCGAAAGCCAGCUCGGAAGAGGUUAGUGUGAAUCUCACCAUCUACUUUUAGGUUUUUUUCCGAAUCUUUGUUUGGAUUUUUUGAAUCUGCAAAUUGAUUUUGUGGAAAAGAAAGUACUUUCUAAAUCUGUUAAUUUCUUAUUUCGCACAGUACGUACAAAACUUGUUGAUUACUUUUUUUUCCGUGAAUCUGUGAAUUGCGUCUUUUGCACAGAGCAUACAUAACUUGUGAUUUCAUGUAGGAAAAUAUAAGAACUUUCUGAAUCUGUGAAAAUAAGAUUCAUAAUAACUCUAUUGAAAGAACAUUCUAUUCAUUGGGGCAUUUUUAAUAUUCAACAAUUGAGAACUUAGAUGCAACUCAUUAGGUUCAUAAACUCAUAUACAAUUCAUCAUAAACUCAGGAACAACUCAUCCAUCCUCAUAAGCUUUAAGGCAUUCUCCUGUGUUCCAAUCUGUCAACCCUAUCUCGUAAUGCAUCUACUUCAUUGCGAGGUUGUGGAAGUCCAUGAAAAUAUUAUUCUCAAAAUUUACCGACUGCACAUAAUUUGGACUUCGUAAUGGAGCACUUUGUGUUGGUGCCAAUGAUGCUUAAAGCUCCAAAUUCUCAACACGCAGAUCAUGAAUUUGGUUCCUCAUACUCUCCAUCAUAUUCGCCAUAUUUAACUUCUCGUUUACAAUAGCAACUUUCACGUGAAACCAUUCAAAGUAACCACAACCGGUGCCAUCCUAUAGCAUGUAUGGAUUUCACGAGUGUUAGUUACUACAAGAAGGAGGCCCUAAAAUGGUAGGU